CUCUAAGAAACAACCUCCUAACCCUAGCCGGCCUCUUCACCUCUUUAAUAGGAGUCGGCUUAGGUAGGUUUUACAUGAAUGUCCCUCUCAAUUAGGACUCUCCUAGCUAGAGUUCUAACAGACCCGCCUCUUCAAAUCAGCCUUGUCCUCGAGGCUGACAAUUCAUGAAUUUUGGGAAUUUGAUCUUCAAGUCGUCAUAGUUCUCCCAAGUGGCAU
rnacentral:lncRNA from 1 species